rnacentral:rRNA from 1 species
UACGAAGGGGGCUAGCGUUGUUCGGAUUUACUGGGCGUAAAGCGCACGUAGGCGGAUUGUUAAGUCAGGGGUGAAAUCCUGGAGCUCAACUCCAGAACUGCCUUUGAUACUGGCAAUCUCGAGUCCGGAAGAGGUGAGUGGAACUCCUAGUGUAGAGGUGGAAUUCGUAGAUAUUAGGAAGAACACCAGUGGCGAAGGCGGCUCACUGGUCCGGUACUGACGCUGAGGUGCGAAAGCGUGGGGAGCAAGCAGG